rnacentral:rRNA from 1 species
AUUGAUUUUAUGCUUGCAUAAAUGAUUUUUGGAUUCGGAGCGAGUGGCGAACUGGUGAGUAACACGUGGGUAACCUGCCCCGAAGCGGGGGAUAACAUUUGGAAACAAGUGCUAAUACCGCAUAAUUAGUUGGAACCGCAUGGUUCCAACUUGAAAGAUGGCUCUGCUAUUACUUUGGGAUGGACCCGCGCCGUAUUAGUUAGUUGGUGAGAUAAAAGCCCACCAAGACGAUGAUACGUAGCCGACCUGAGAGGGUAAUCGGCCACAUUGGGACUGAGACACGGCCCAGACUCCUACGGGAGGCAGCAGUAGGGAAUCUUCCACAAUGGACGAAAGUCUGAUGGAGCAACGCCGCGUGAGUGAUGAAGGUUUUCGGAUCGUAAAACUCUGUUGUUAAAGAAGAACAAGUGUUAGAGUAACUGUUAACACUUUGACGGUAUUUAACCAGAAAGCCACGGCUAACUACGUGCCAGCAGCCGCGGUAAUACGUAGGUGGCAAGCGUUGUCCGGAUUUAUUGGGCGUAAAGCGAGCGCAGGCGGUUUUGUAAGUCUGCUAUGAAAGCCCUCAGCUCAACUGAGGAAGUGCAGUGGAAACUACAAAACUUGAGUACAGAAGAGGAAAGUGGAACUCCAUGUGUAGCGGUGAAAUGCGUAGAUAUAUGGAAGAACACCAGUGGCGAAGGCGGCUUUCUGGUCUGUUACUGACGCUGAGGCUCGAAAGCAUGGGUAGCGAACAGGAUUAGAUACCCUGGUAGUCCAUGCCGUAAACGAUGAAUACUAGGUGUUGGAGGGUUUCCGCCCUUCAGUGCCGCAGCUAACGCAUUAAGUAUUCCGCCUGGGGAGUACGACCGCAAGGUUGAAACUCAAAGGAAUUGACGGGGGCCCGCACAAGUGGUGGAGCAUGUGGUUUAAUUCGAUGCUACGCGAAGAACCUUACCAGCUCUUGACAUCUUCUGCCAACCCAAGAGAUUGGGCGUUCCCUUCGGGGACAGAAUGACAGGUGGUGCAUGGUUGUCGUCAGCUCGUGUCGUGAGAUGUUGGGUUAAGUCCCGCAACGAGCGCAACCCUUAUUAUUAGUUGCCAGCAUUUAGUUGGGCACUCUAGUGAGACUGCCGGUGAUAAA